GACGAACGCUGGCGGCGUGCCUAUUACAUGCAAGUCGAACGAACUCUGGUAUUGAUUGGUGCUUGCAUCAUGAUUUACAUUUGAGUGAGUGGCGAACUGGUGAGUAACACGUGGGAAACCUGCCCAGAAGCGGGGGAUAACACCUGGAAACAGAUGCUAAUACCGCAUAACAACUUGGACCGCAUGGUCCGAGCUUGAAAGAUGGCUUCGGCUAUCACUUUUGGAUGGUCCCGCGGCGUAUUAGCUAGAUGGUGGGGUAACGGCUCACCAUGGCAAUGAUACGUAGCCGACCUGAGAGGGUAAUCGGCCACAUUGGGACUGAGACACGGCCCAAACUCCUACGGGAGGCAGCAGUAGGGAAUCUUCCACAAUGGACGAAAGUCUGAUGGAGCAACGCCGCGUGAGUGAAGAAGGGUUUCGGCUCGUAAAACUCUGUUGUUAAAGAAGAACAUAUCUGAGAGUAACUGUUCAGGUAUUGACGGUAUUUAACCAGAAAGCCACGGCUAACUACGUGCCAGCAGCCGCGGUAAUACGUAGGUGGCAAGCGUUGUCCGGAUUUAUUGGGCGUAAAGCGAGCGCAGGCGGUUUUUUAAGUCUGAUGUGAAAGCCUUCGGCUCAACCGAAGAAGUGCAUCGGAAACUGGGAAACUUGAGUGCAGAAGAGGACAGUGGAACUCCAUGUGUAGCGGUGAAAUGCGUAGAUAUAUGGAAGAACACCAGUGGCGAAGGCGGCUGUCUGGUCUGUAACUGACGCUGAGGCUCGAAAGUAUGGGUAGCAAACAGGAUUAGAUACCCUGGUAGUCCAUACCGUAAACGAUGAAUGCUAAGUGUUGGAGGGUUUCCGCCCUUCAGUGCUGCAGCUAACGCAUUAAGCAUUCCGCCUGGGGAGUACGGCCGCAAGGCUGAAACUCAAAGGAAUUGACGGGGGCCCGCACAAGCGGUGGAGCAUGUGGUUUAAUUCGAAGCUACGCGAAGAACCUUACCAGGUCUUGACAUACUAUGCAAAUCUAAGAGAUUAGACGUUCCCUUCGGGGACAUGGAUACAGGUGGUGCAUGGUUGUCGUCAGCUCGUGUCGUGAGAUGUUGGGUUAAGUCCCGCAACGAGCGCAACCCUUAUUAUCAGUUGCCAGCAUUAAGUUGGGCACUCUGGUGAGACUGCCGGUGACAAACCGGAGGAAGGUGGGGAUGACGUCAAAUCAUCAUGCCCCUUAUGACCUGGGCUACACACGUGCUACAAUGGAUGGUACAACGAGUUGCGAACUCGCGAGAGUAAGCUAAUCUCUUAAAGCCAUUCUCAGUUCGGAUUGUAGGCUGCAACUCGCCUACAUGAAGUCGGAAUCGCUAGUAAUCGCGGAUCAGCAUGCCGCGGUGAAUACGUUCCCGGGCCUUGUACACACCGCCCGUCACACCAUGAGAGUUUGUAACACCCAAAGUCGGUGGGGUAACCUUUUAGGAACCAGCCGCCUAAGGUGGGACAGAUGAUUAGGGUG
rnacentral:rRNA from 1 species